GCAUGUUGCAAACAUUGCGACUUAAGAAGCUGUGCUAUUGACCUGACAAAGAAAUCCUUAACACGAGGUCUUUUGUUUUUCAGGCAGUCCCAUCGGCAGAUCAUCUUAAUACAGUGUGCUACAUCUACCCUGACAAAACAUGGGGGUAGAUGUCCAGGUUGAUUCCCACGUGAAAUGUUAAAGCACUCAUUGAUGUAGCUCUUCAGAUCAGGAUGAGGGGUAAAAGCUUUGACUAGAGCUCCAAGAAUCGCCAGAGAAAAGUCACUCACUGCUUCUUUAGGAACAGAUGCACCUGCAUGGAUCCAUUCCUUCAGCCACUGUGUGAUAGCAUUAACAUCAUGCUUCUCUGACAGCAUCUGCACGACUGGGAUACUGGAGCUGGUAUGCCCUGUCAUAACACCCUGAUACAGGAAGAUAUGGCCAGACAUGCCAUUCGGUCUCAUCAGUUUUUUAACUAUUGAGCCAGUUGCAUCAACACAUAAUAUUGGGGUGGCCAAAUUUGGCAGGUGGCUUGGCUCAGAGUCUCCGAAGUCCAUCAGUUUAUUUGCCUGUGAUGCUCGCCAUACAUGUGGUUCCAUCCUGCCCUCACAAAGUUCCUUGGCUACCUGCACACGCAACUGUCCAGAUAGAAACCGCUUUGAGCUACCAGUGUGUAGGGAGUCAUCACUGUUCUUAAUGAAACAGUUCAAUAUUAUUGGGCUGUUAAUUUCUGGCUCUCCGCCACAAUUAAUGUUGAGAAGGCCAUGACACUCCUUGCAGUAUCCUCUGAUUUUGAUAUAAUUAUUUGAGACCAAUGGAUAGACCUUGGCUCUUUUAAAAACAAAUGUGCAAGGAAUUGUGACUGUUUUCCAGAUUUGUUCAUUUAUGAUGUGGUUCCAGGUGCCAGGCUUCAAAAUUGUAUAUUCUCUUUUUUGGGUUCGACAGUUCUUAUCUUUGUAUUCAGCCUUUUCCGGAAUAAAUUCCAUCCACUUGU